GAGCCUUUUGUUCUAUGGAUAGGAAAGUUUACGCUUUUUUUACAGCUUCGGCUUUUAGCGAUUUAUUCGCAUAAAAUUCUAUAUAGAAUACAGAUGAUGACUAUUUUCUAUAUACAAGUCUUGACUAAAACACGUGCCAGCAGUCGCGGUAACACGAGACAGACUAGUGUUAUUCAUCUUUAAUAGGUUUAAAGGGUACGUAGGCGGUAAAAUAGCUUUUUAAAACAACUUUUUACUAGAGUUUUAUAUAAGAGGAGUUUAGUACUAACAGAGUAGAGAUGAAAUUUUUUGAUACUGUAGGGCACUGGUAAAGGCGAAGGCAGACCUUUAUGUAAAUACUGACGUUGAGGGACGAAGGCUAGGGUAACAAACAGGAUUAGGUACCCUAAUAGUCCAUGCAGAGACUGAUGAGUGUUAUAGGUCAGAAAAAUUCUUAAGGUCAUAAUUUAUUAUUGCUCAAUAAUAAGAGAAUUAAGAAAGAAUUAAAAAAAUUUUUGGUUUAUAAAUGAAAGUGUAAGCACUCCACCUUAAGAGUAAUACGGCUACGUAGGAACUAAAAUCAUUAGACCGUUUCUGAUACCAGUAGUGAAGUAUGUUGUUCAAUUCGAUAACCCGCGAAAAACCUUACCACAAUUUGAAUAUUAUUUCACCUUUUGUAAAGUAAUUUAACAAUACUUGUUAAAUUAUGAAAGUGGUAUAUUACAGGUGUUGCAUGGCUGUCUUCAGUUGAUGUCGUGAGAUGUUGGUUAGAUCCUAAGAAUCAACGUAUAACCCUUAUUUUAUUUUGUAUAAAUAGAGUAGUUUCGCCGCGAAAUGGUUGAUAAUUGGGACCAAGACAAGUCCUCAUGGCCCG
rnacentral:rRNA from 1 species